rnacentral:rRNA from 1 species
GCUAAUACCGCAUAACAACAGAAAGCGCAUGCUUUUUGUUUGAAAACCAAGGUGGUAUGGGAUGGACCCGCGUCUGAUUAGCUGGUUGGCGGGGUAAAGGCCCACCAAGGCGACGAUCAGUAGCCGGCCUGAGAGGGUGGACGGCCACAUUGGGACUGAGACACGGCCCAAACUCCUACGGGAGGCAGCAGUGGGGAAUAUUGCACAAUGGGGGAAACCCUGAUGCAGCGACGCCGCGUGAGUGAAGAAGUAAUUCGUUAUGUAAAGCUCUAUCAGCAGGGAAGAAAAUGACGGUACCUGAGUAAGAAGCCCCGGCUAACUACGUGCCAGCAGUCGCGGUAAUACGUAGGGGGCAAGCGUUAUCCGGAAUUACUGGGUGUAAAGGGAGCGUAGACGGUGAUGCAAGUCUGGAGUGAAAGGCGGGGGCCCAACCCCCGGACUGCUCUGGAAACUGUGUAACUUGAGUGCAGGAGAGGUAAGCGGAAUUCCUAGUGUAGCGGUGAAAUGCGUAGAUAUUAGGAGGAACACCAGUGGCGAAGGCGGCUUACUGGACUGUAACUGACGUUGAGGCUCGAAAGCGUGGGGGAGCAAACAGGAUUAGAUACCCUGGUAGUCCACGCCGUAAACGAUGAUUACUAGGUGU